GAUUUGGGGAGCCCAGACUUGCCAAUGGGUAAGUGAGUCUAGUCAAGAUGUAGGAUUUCAGAAAACUCACUCAGAAGAGCAGGAUGAAGAUAAAGGAGGCAUCAUUCAGCAGCAAUAACCAACUCAUUUCCUUCUCUAGAAAGCAAUGAAACAAGAAUCUGGUCAUGGGAUUUUACCAGUGCAAAGGAUUAAUCCACCCAAUUGAUGGCCAAGAAACCAACCAGUGAGAGCAGGAAGCAAGAACACCUCGAGACAGGACAGUGAGCUGGACAACAUUGCUUCAUUAUUUCAGCUGCUUGUGAAGGAGGGGGGAGGGGCCAAGAUGGCCGAAUAGAAACAGCUCUGGUCUACAGCUCCCAGCGUGAGCAACUCAGAAGAUGGGUGAUUUCUGCAUUUGCAACUGAGGUCAUGAGGAUGGAGUUCUCAUGAAUGAGAUGACUGCCCUUGUAGAACAGACUCAAGAGAGACUCUUGCUCCUUACAUCAUGUGAAGACACAGAAAGAAGGUAUCAUCUAUGAAUCAGGAAACCGUUCCUUGAUCUUGGACUUCCCAGUCUCCAGAACUGUGAGAAAUAAAUGUCUCUGGUUUAUAAGCCA
rnacentral:lncRNA from 1 species